rnacentral:rRNA from 1 species
AGAGCGAACGCUGGCGGCAGGCCUAAAACAUGCAAGUCGAACGGACCCUUCGGGGUUAGUGGCGGACGGGUGAGUAACACGUGGGAACGUGCCUUUUGGUUCAGAACAACUCAGGGAAACUUGAGCUAAUACUGAAUAAGCCCUACGGGGGAAAGAUUUAUCGCCAUUAGAGCGGCCCGCGUUGGAUUAGCUAGUUGGUGAGGUAAAGGCUCACCAAGGCUACGAUCCAUAGCUGGUCUGAGAGGAUGAUCAGCCACACUGGGACUGAGACACGGCCCAGACUCCUACGGGAGGCAGCAGUUAGGAAUCUUGCGCAAUGGGCGAAAGCCUGACGCAGCCAUGCCGCGUGAAUGAUGAAGGUCUUAGGAUUGUAAAAUUCUUUCAGUGGGGAAGAUAAUGACUGUACCCACAGAAGAAGCUCCGGCUAACUCGCGCCAGCAGCCGC